rnacentral:rRNA from 1 species
UACAGAGGGUGCGAGCGUUAAUCGGAAUUACUGGGCGUAAAGGGCGCGUAGGUGGUUUAUUAAGAUGGAUGUGAAAUCCCUGGGCUUAACCUAGGAACGGCAUCGAUGACUGAUAAGCUGGAGUACUGUAGAGGGUAGUGGAAUUUACGGUGUAGCGGUGAAAUGCGUAGAUAUCGUAAGGAAGACCAGUGGCGAAGGCGGGUCUCUGGACAGCUCCUGACGCUGAGGCACGAAGGCCAGGGGAGCAAACGGG